rnacentral:rRNA from 1 species
UACGGGGGGGGGGGUAAGCGUUGUUCGGAAUUACUGGGCGUAAAGGGCUCGUAGGCGGCCAACUAAGUCAUACGUGAAAUCCCUCAGCUUAACUGGGGAACUGCGUGUGAUACUGGAUGGCUUGAAUCCGGGAGAGGGAUGCGGAAUUCCAGGUGUAGCGGUGAAAUGCGUAGAUAUCUGGAGGAACACCGGUGGCGAAGGCGGCAUCCUGGACCGGCAUUGACGCUGAGGAGCGAAAGCCAGGGGGAGCAAACGGG